rnacentral:rRNA from 1 species
AACGAACGCUGGCGGCAUGCCUAACACAUGCAAGUCGAACGAAGCCUUCGGGCUUAGUGGCGCACGGGUGCGUAACACGUGGGAAUCUGCCCUUUGGUUCGGAAUAACAGUUAGAAAUGACUGCUAAUACCGGAUAAUGACGUAAGUCCAAAGAUUUAUCGCCGAAGGAUGAGCCCGCGUAGGAUUAGGUAGUUGGUGGGGUAAUGGCCCACCAAGCCGACGAUCCUUAGCUGGUCUGAGAGGAUGAUCAGCCACACUGGGACUGAGACACGGCCCAGACUCCUACGGGAGGCAGCAGUGGGGAAUUUUGGACAAUGGGCGCAAGCCUGAUCCAGCAAUGCCGCGUGCAGGAAGAAGGCCUUCGGUUGUAACUGCUUUGUCUAGGGAAGAAAGUACUUCUGGGCUAAUACCCCGGGACGGAUGACGGUACCUGAAGAAUAAGCACCG